GAUGAACGCUGGCGGCGUGCCUAAUACAUGCAAGUCGAGCGAACGGACGAGAAGCUUGCUUCUCUGAUGUUAGCGGCGGACGGGUGAGUAACACGUGGAUAACCUACCUAUAAGACUGGGAUAACUUCGGGAAACCGGAUCUAAUACCGUAUAAUAUUCUGAACCGCAUGGUUCAAAAGUGAAAUACGGUCUUUCUGUCACUUAUAGAUGGUUCCGCGCUGCAUUAGCUAGUUGGUAAGGUAACGGCUUACCAAGGCAACGAUGCAUAGCCGAACUGAGAGGCGGGUAGGCGGCCCUAGAACGUGACCACGGUCCAGACUCCUACGAGAGGCAGCAGUAGGGAAUGUGCGGCAAUAGGCGAAAGUAUGACGGAGCAAGCCGGCGUGAGUGAUGACGGUCUUCGGAUCGUAAAGCUCUGUUAUUAGGGAUGAACAGAUGUGUAAGGAACUGUGCACAUCGUGACGGUACCUGAUCAGAAAGCAACGGCUAACUACGUG
rnacentral:rRNA from 1 species